rnacentral:rRNA from 1 species
UACAUGGGGUGCAAACGUUGCUCGGAAUUACUGGGCGUAAAGAGCUCGUAGGUGGUUUGUCGCGUUGUUCGUGAAAACUCACAGCUCAACUGUGGGCGUGCGGGCGAUACGGGCAGACUGGAGUACUGCAGGGGAGAACGGAAUUCCUGGUGUAGCGGUGAAAUGCGCAGAUAUCAGGAGGAACACCGGUGGCGAAGGCGGUUCUCUGGGCAUGUCCUGACGUGAGGAGCGAAAGUGUGGGGAGCGAACAGG